GCCAGGUGUUGUGGCGGGCGCCUGUGGUCCCAGCUACUUGGGAGGUGGAGGCAGGAGACUGGCUUGAGCCCAGGAGUUGGAGGUUGCUGUGAGCAGUAAAGCCAUAGCAUUCUACCCAGGGGGACAGCUUGAGGCUCUGUCUCAAAAAAAGAAAAGAAAAGAGACAGAGCCUCAAGCUGUCACCCUAGGUAGAGUGCUGUAGCAUCAUAGCUCACAGCAACCUCCAACUCCUGGGCUCAAGCGAGUCUCCUGCCUCUG
rfam:Otolemur garnettii contig011408, whole genome shotgun sequence.